rnacentral:rRNA from 1 species
ACGAAGGGGGCUAGCGUUGCUCGGAAUCACUGGGCGUAAAGGGUGCGUAGGCGGCUUUUUAAGUCAGGGGUGAAAUCCCGGGGCUCAACCCCGGAACUGCCUUUGAAACUGGAGAGCUAGAAUCUUGGAGAGGCGAGUGGAAUUCCGAGUGUAGAGGUGAAAUUCGUAGAUAUUCGGAAGAACACCAGUGGCGAAGGCGACUCGCUGGACAAGUAUUGACGCUGAGGUGCGAAAGCGUGGGGAGCAAACAGGA